GAUCAUUUCUAGGUCCAUCCAUGUGGCUGCAAAUGCUGUGUGUCUUUCUUUUGAAUGGCUGCGUAAUAUUCCACUGUGUGUGUGGACCACAUCUUCUGGAUCCCCUCCUCUGUCGAUGGGCAUUUAGGUUGUUUCCAUGUCUUGGCUGUUGUAUAUAGUGCUGCAGUGAACAUCAGAGUCCAUGUGUCUUUGUGAGUCGUGGGUUUCUCUGGAUAGAUGCCCAGGGGUGGGAUUGCUGGAUCAAAUGGUAGUUCUGUUUUUAGUUUUCUGAGGCAUCUCCAUACUGUUUUCCACAGUGGUUGCACCAGUUUACAUUCCCACCAACAGUGUACUAGGGUUCCUUUCUCUCCACGCCCUCCCUAACACUUACUGUUUGUAGGCUUUUUGAUGACAGCCGUUCUGGCUGGUGUAAUACGGUACCUCAUAGUGGUUUUGGUUUGCAUUUCUCUAAUAAUGAGUGAUGUUGAACAUCUUUUCAUGUGUUUUUUGACCAUCUGUAUGUCUUUGGAGAACUGUCUGUUUAGAUCUUCUGCUCAUUUUUUGAUGGGGUGGUUUGUUUGGUAUUGAGCUGCAGAAGGUGUUUAUAAAUUUUGGAGAUUAAUCCCUUGGCAGUCAAUUCAUUUGCAAAGAUUUUUCUCCCAUUCUGUGGAUUGUCUUUUCGUUUUGUUUAGGAUUUCCUUUACUUUGCAGAAACUUUUUAAGUUUAAUUAGGUCCCAUUUGUUAAUUUUUGUUUUUAUUGUCAUUACUCUAGGAGGUGGAUCUGAGAAGGAUAUUGCCAUGGUUUAUGUCAGAGGGUGUUUGGCCUAUAUUUUCCUCUAAGAAUUUUAUAGUAUCUGGUCUUAUAUCUAGAUCUUUAAUCCAUUUGGAGUUUAUUUUUGUGUAUGGUUAGGGAGUGUUCUAAUUUCAUUCUUUUCCAUGUGGCUGUCCAGUUUUCCCAGCACCACUUAUUGAAGGGGCUGUCUUUUCUCCAUUGUAUAUUCUUGCCUCCUUUGUCAGAUUAGUUAACUGUAGCUGCGUGGGUUUAAUUCUGGGCUUUCUAUCCUGCUCCACUGAGCUGUAUUUCUGUCUUUGUGCCAGUACCAUACGGUUUUGAUGACUAUAGCUUUGUAGUAUGGUCUGAACUCAGGGAGCCUGAUUCCUGCGUCUCCAUUUUUCUUUCUCGAGAUGGACUUUGGCUAUUCUGGGGCUUUUGUACCUCCAACCAAACUUUAAAAUAUUUUGUUGAAGUUCUGUGGAAAAUGUUUUUGGUAAUUUGAUAGGGAUUGCAUUGAAUUGGUAGAUUGCCUUGGGUAAUAUAGUCAUUUUGAUAAUAUUGAUUCUUCCAGUCCAAGAGCAUGGUAUGUCUUUCCUUCUGUGUCAUCUUUGAUUUCUUUCAUCAGCAUCUUAUAAUUUUCAGAGAACAGGUCUUUUGUCUCUUUAAGUAGGUAUUUUUCCUAAGUAUCUCAUUCUUUUUGAUGUGAUGGUAAAUGGGAUUGUUUCCCUAAUUUCUCUUUCUGAUCUUUCAUUGCUAGUAUAUAGAAAUGCAGUCAAUUCCUGUGUAUUAAUUUUGUAUCCUGUGACUUUGCCAGAUCCAUUGAUGAGGACUCUUAAGUAAUUCCUGGUACUUAUUCUGGUUUCUUUCCAGAAGGAAGGUGGUAAACCCACUCCAAGAUUUUAAAUCUGCAGUUGGAAUGUAUCUGUCACAUGAAAAUGGGAAGUUGCUGCUUUGGGUCUGUUUUGUUUUGUCUUUAAAUAAACCCUUAUUGUGGAAGGAUUGGAUUCAGACUCAGGCUGGCUCUUUAUUAAUUUGAAUUUAUGGAAUGUUGAAAUGAGUUAAAACGAAUGGCAUCGGGGAAGACCUGAAGUUUGCAAACUGGGAGAGCCCACUUGUGUGUCCAGAGCCCCUGCCAGCUUAGCCCCCUCUCACUUCCCAGGCUGCUGCAACUCCUUGAAGAAACAAAAUAUUUAGGCACAGUGACUUUCACAACGUGGGGGGAAAUAAAUCUCAGAUGAAUAGGAGAUGGAAACUGGGCUGGGCAGGGAAGAGGGUACAGAAACUAGACCAUCGAAUACCUACUAGGUACAGACCCUGCUAGUUGCUUUGCCCCUGGGAACUUUAACCCCUGUGUAGUUUUAUAAAUGAAAACAGGUUUAGAGACAGGGGCAACCCCAAAACCUAUACCUCUGACUCUCACCCUAAUGUUUGUUAAGCGAAUGAAGGAAAUGAGAACAGAGGCUCAGAGAGGUUAGGUGAUUUGCCUGAAGUCACCCAGCAGUUAAGGGGAUCAGGUCAGUUUCACGUCAGUCCUUCGUUCUCAGGUACUCUGUGCCUAGAGUUCCAUCCUGGGAAUUGACCUUGUGUCUUCCACCCAGCUUGGCCUUUUUGAGUCUCUCCUCUGGGCCCAGAGCAGGCUGUAGCUCCAGCACUUGGCUUACCUCCCUGACUGCGAGAGAAACAGGGAAGAGAAAAGAAGCAGAGGCACACCCCCGAGGGCAGAGUAGACUGUGCCCCCACCCCAGCUCUCACAUCCUGUCUCCCUGCAGUACAUACCGGCAUGUAAUUGUGCAACUGCUGGAGUGGGAGCUCUUUGAGGUCAGGAAGCCUGUCUUUGUAACCUCUGUCACCACCAAUUAACAUGGUGUUGGCACUAGGAGGGGUCAGUACACGUCUAGCGGUUAAAAGUCCACAGUACUUAUGUUGAAGGCAUUAGAACGUCUUUAAUUGAAUGUCGCACUCCCUAAUGGUGGGGGCUCAGGUCAUGCUGUCUUGGUUCCCCAGGGCCUAUUAGAAUGCACAGCCAUGUGGGACUUUGAUGGGCAGUGGGAGAACCUGGUUGGAGAAGGUGGCCAGAGGGUGGAGAGUUGAGGGCCAGGAAGAUGGAGCAGGAGAGGGAAGGACAGACGCAUUUCACUGACUUGACAGUUUCGCCUGAUGUUUGUCUGACUAGCCACAAGCAGAAAGUUAUUUUGGGAAACAAAUAAUUUAGCUGUAGGAUAGCCACAGAAAUAUACUUCAAAAUACCAGUCUAGGGAGGUCUCCUGUGGCCGCAGCAGGUUAAGGAUCCCAUGUUGUUGCUGCUGUGGCGCAGGUUUGAUCCCUGGCGUGGGAAUGUCCACGUGCCUCAGGCACGACUGAAAAAACAAACAAAAAAUACCAGUCUAUCCUGCAUUAUUAAAUAGGUGUUACGAUUGUUAAUUUUCGUUCAAAGAGAAGCGGUGUCGUGGAUCUGGAAUCCAGACUCAACUCCAGUUCAUACCAUGCCAGUUUAAAAAGCUGCUUCCUGGAGUUCCCACUGUGAUGCAGUGGCAUUGGCAGCAUCUCUGGGCGCCAGGACGCAGGCUCGACUCCAGCAUUGCCGCAGCUGCAGUGUAGAUCGAAAGUGUGGCCUGGAUCUGGUUCCUGACCCAGGAACUCCAUAAGCUGCGGGGCAGCCAAAAAAAAAAAAAAACCAGCCGGGUCCUUAAAGAAGUCACUUUCUCUCUCUAGGCCUUCGUUACCUCACUUAUGGGAAAAGAGCUACUUGGAGGAUAACAUUAUAGGAAAGAAGUGUGUAAAUUGUAUAAAUUGUAAAACUUGGCUAUAAAUGUUUUAUUUUGUAUUU
rnacentral:lncRNA from 1 species